GUAGUUAGCCGGGGCUUCCUCCUUGGCUACCGUCAUUUGUUUCGUCACCAAGGACAGAGGUUUACAACCCGAAAGCCUUCUUCCCUCACGCGGCGUUGCUGGGUCAGGCUUGCGCCCAUUGCCCAAUAUUCCCCACUGCUGCCUCCCGUAGGAGUCUGGACCGUGUCUCAGUUCCAGUGUGGCCGAUCAGCCUCUCAGCUCGGCUACCCAUCGUCGGCAUGGUGGGCCUUUACCCCGCCAUCUACCUAAUGGGACGCGAACCCCUCCUAAAGCGAUAAAUCUUUGACCUCUGCCCGAUGCCAGGCUGUGGUCUUAUGCGGUAUUAGCACCGAUUUCUCGACGUUAUCCCCCUCUUUAGGUCAGGUUGUUCACGCGUUACUCACCCGUUCGCCACUAAAAUGUUCAAACCGAAAUCUAAACAUCUCCGUUCGACUUGCAUGUGUUAGGCACGCCGCCAGCGUUCGUCCUAAGCCAGGAUCAAACUCUGA
rnacentral:rRNA from 1 species